GACUAAGCUCUUUGGUCCACUAAAAAAAACACAGGAUCAGUGGGGGGAAAAAUGUAUGAGAAAUUUAUUUACCUGUGUACGAAGACUUAAAAGACAGAUUUUGCCAGAGUUGAUCACUUGCCGUACUGAAUCUAUGCUGGUUCCAUACAAAUUUUUCUCAAAUUCACCAUGUUCAAUGAACUUUCCAGCUGCUAUGUCUGCCUCAAAUGCUUGCCGUGAAACAAAGUGGUAAUCUCUACCAGCUACUUCGUGGUCUCGCCUACUCCGAGUUGUAUCUAGGCAAACAAAAUCAGUACCUGUAAGCUCAUAAGCUUGAAGCCCUACCAAAGGGGAUACGGAGAAGUUUAAGGUAUCUGUGGGACAUCCAAAAGAUACUUUAAUAGAAGACAGACAGAAAUACAAACCUUAAGGAGAGACAUGGGAAAAGGCACAGAGAAUGAGGCUGCUGGAAUUCAGAGACAAACUAUUUCCUCAUUUUUCUUCUUAUAAAGAACUUUACACAGAAGGAAGGUUGUGGAUGCAACAUCAACUUCAAAAUGUCUCAUAAAGAAUAAAAGGAAAAUGUGAAAUGAUAGACAAAAUAUAAAGCAUAAUUGUGAUAAAAUAUUGAGAAAAAAAUGAAACUGUGUCUUCUUUCAAAGUGUUAUGAUUUUAUAAAAUAACAGAUGCAAUACAUCAGCCUUCCAUGUUAACUUGGCAUUUUGAAAUCUGUAAUUUUUAACAGCUUUACUGAGAAAUAAUUCGUUAUAAAAGUCACUACUGUAUAAAAUCAUAUGGUUUUUAGUAAAUUCAGAGUUGUGCAAUCAUAAGCAAUUUUACAACAUUUUUAUCAUCCCAAAAGGAAAUCCCAUACUCAUUAGGAAUCACUCCCAUACUCUCCUAACUCCCCUUCCCUACACCUAAGGAACUAUUGAUCUACUGUCACUCUCUAUGGGUUUACUUCUUCUGGACAUUUCACAUAAAUUAUCCAAUACAUGGCCUUUUGUGACUGCCUUCUUUCACUUAGCCUAAUUUUUUCAAGGUUCAUCUAUGUUGUAGCAUAUAGCAGCAGUACUUUAUUCUUUUUUAUGGUCAAAUAAUAUUCCUCCUAUGGAUAUAUCAUAUUUCACUUUCCACUCAUCAACCAGCCAACAUCUGGGCUGUUUCUACUCUCUGGUUAAUAAAAUAAUGCUGCUAUGCGCAUUCAUAUACAAGUUUUUGUGAGGAUGUAUGUUUUCAGUUCUCUUGGAUAUACACCUAGGAGUAGGACUGUUAAGUCAUAUAGUAAUUAAGUGUGUUAGCUAGCUAGCUGAAUGUUUAACAUAAGAAGCAAAACAUACUCUAAAAUUAAAGUUGUGCAUACUUUGUAAAAGCACUUCCCCCUAUGCUAAGUAUGUUUAAGCUAAAUAAACGACCUAUAAUGACAGAAAAAGACAAAAGCUAGAAGUCAAAAAUUCUGGAAGAAAAGUAUGCUCUAUAUUUUACUUUGUAAAGUUUUAAUAAAUUUGAAACAUUAAGACUUAUAACUCUUUAAAUAAAAACUG